GUAGGGUGCGAGCGUUAAUCGGAAUUACUGGGCGUAAAGCGUGCGCAGGCGGUUCGUUAAGUUCGAUGUGAAAGCCCCGGGCUCAACCUGGGAAUUGCAUUGGAAACUGGCGGGCUUGAGUGUGGCAGAGGGGGGUGGAAUUCCACGUGUAGCAGUGAAAUGCGUAGAGAUGUGGAGGAACACCGAUGGCGAAGGCAGCCCCCUGGGCUAACACUGACGCUCAGGCACGAAAGCGUGGGGAGCAAACAGGAUUAGAUACCCUGGUAGUCCACGCCCUAAACGAUGUCAACUGGGUGUUGGGGAAGCGAUUCCUCAGUACCGUAGCUAACGCGUGAAGUUGACCGCCUGGGGAGUACGGCCGCAAGGUUA
rnacentral:rRNA from 1 species